GAUGAACGCUGGCGGCGUGCCUAAUACAUGCAAGUCGAGCGAACGGACGAGAAGCUUGCUUCUCUCACGUUAGCCGCGGACGGGUGAGUAACACGUGUAUAACCUACCUAUAAUACUGGUAUAACUUCGGGAAACCGGAGCUAAUACCGGAUAAUCUCUUGAACCGCAUGGUUCAAUAGUGAAAGACGGUCUUGCUGUCACUUAUAGAUGCAUCCGGGCUGCAUUAGCUAGUUGGUAAGGUAACGGCUUACCAAGGCAACGAUGCAUAGCCGACGGGAGAGGGUGAUCGGCCACACUGGAACGGAGCCACGGUCAAGACUACUACGGGAGGCAGCAGUAGGGAAUCGUACGCAAUGGGGGAAAGCCUGACGGAGCAAGGCCGCGUGAGUGAUGAAGGUCUUCGGAUCGUAAAACUCUGUUAUUAGGGAAGAACAUAUGUGUAAGUAACUGUGCACAUCUUGACGGUAACUAAUCAGAAAGCCACGGCUAACUACGUG
rnacentral:rRNA from 1 species